GGGUCAAGUACUUAUUCUUUGAGAGAAGGGUCAAAGGGGCAUACAUUUCUACGACCUGGGCAAAUAGUGCAUAGGAGGAUAAUGGACGGUGAUACUGUUUUCAUUAACAGGCCACCCACAACACAUAAGCACUCCCUCCAAGCCUUAUCAGUGUAUGUCCAUGAUGAUCAUACUGUGAAGAUCAACCCACUUAUGUGCGGCCCCCUUAGCGCUGAUUUUGAUGGGGACUGCAUUCAUUUGUUUUACCCUCAGUCCCUUUCUGCCAAAGCAGAGGUUUUGGAGCUUUUUGCUGUUGGGAAAC
rnacentral:misc_RNA from 1 species